GAUUAACGCUGGCGGCGUGCAUAACACAUGCAAGUCGAACGAUGAAACUUUAAUGAACCCUUCGGGGAGAAUUAAAGCGGAUUAAUGGCGAACGGGUGAGUAACGCGUGAGUAACCUGCCUUACACAAGGGGAUAGCCUUUGGAAACGAAGAAUAAUACCCUAUAAAACCAUAAAAGCACAUGCAAUUAUGGUCAAAGUGAUAGCGGUGUAAGAUGGACUUGCGUCUGAUUAGCUAGUUGGUGAGAUAAAAGCCCACCAAGGCAACGAUCAGUAGCCGGCUUGAGAGAGUGUACGGCCACAUUGGGACUGAGACACGGCCCAGACUCCUACGGGAGGCAGCAGUGGGGAAUUUUGCACAAUGGGGGAAACCCUGAUGCAGCGACGCCGCGUGAUUUAGAAGGCCUUCGGGUUGUAAAAAUCUUUUGUAUAGGAAGAAAAUGACAGUACUAUACGAAUAAGGUCCGGCUAAUUACGUG
rnacentral:rRNA from 1 species